rnacentral:rRNA from 1 species
GUCGAGCGAAGCAGUUAAGAAGAUUCUUCGGAUGAUUUUUAACUGACUGAGCGGCGGACGGGUGAGUAACGCGUGGGUGACCUGCCCCAUACCGGGGGAUAACAGCUGGAAACGGCUGCUAAUACCGCAUAAGCGCACAGAGCUGCAUGGCUCAGUGUGAAAAACUCCGGUGGUAUGGGAUGGGCCCGCGUCUGAUUAGGCAGUUGGCGGGGUAACGGCCCACCAAACCGACGAUCAGUAGCCGGCCUGAGAGGGCGACCGGCCACAUUGGGACUGAGACACGGCCCAAACUCCUACGGGAGGCAGCAGUGGGGAAUAUUGCACAAUGGGGGAAACCCUGAUGCAGCGACGCCGCGUGAGCGAAGAAGUAUUUCGGUAUGUAAAGCUCUAUCAGCAGGGAAGAUAAUGACGGUACCUGACUAAGAAGCCCCGGCUAACUACGUGCCAGCAGCCGCGGUAAUACGUAGGGGGCAAGUGUUAUCCGGAUUUACUGGGUGUAAAGGGAGCGUAGACGGCAAGGCAAGUCUGAUGUGAAAACCCAGGGCUUAACCCUGGGACUGCAUUGGAAACUGUCUGGCUCGAGUGCCGGAGAGGUAAGCGGAAUUCCUAGUGUAGCGGUGAAAUGCGUAGAUAUUAAGAAGAACACCAGUGGCGAAGGCGGCUUACUGGACGGUAACUGACGUUGAGGCUCGAAAGCGUGGGGAGCAAACAGGAUUAGAUACCCUGGUAGUC